ensembl:lncRNA
AAUGUUGUUGAGGUGCUUGGGGGGGGGCGUGGUGUUUUCUCAGGUAACAUACAAAGAGCUAGGGCUUUUAGGGGCAUUGCACUUUGCUUGUUGAGAGGCAAUGAGGCUGUGUAUGGAUAUUGCGGUGCCACUGCUGGCUAUGGUGCACAUGACCUACAUCUGUGAAGCAGCUCUGCUGAGGAAAUCCACAGCGGCUGACUUCCUAAGACCAGUAAGAGAGAAGCGUGCUGCAGAGUGUUUCCCUGCAGGCUGCAGUAUGGAGGACAGUGAUGCUGAGGAGCUACUGGAGGCCAACUCACACUACGUGAGUUCAGGCUGGCAGACACACUGGAGUAUAGACAGUAAAUAUGGGUCACCCAAUAUUAUAGUCUUACUCAAAUUCAUGCAACAGUGUUCCUCCUUUUAGGAUGGCUAAAUCAAAGCUAGAACUGAUUAAAUCUGUUUCAGCUAACUGGGUCUCUACUGAUUUUUUUUUAUCACUAUAUACGGGUCACAGACUGAGAAACAUGGCUCUGUAAGUUGAUCCUCCAGGGCAGUGGUGCAUCUACCACUACUGCACUCUAACAUACAAGAGAACAAAGACAAGUCAGGACAUUGACCCUGACAUCUGUUUCAUUUGCACCAACUUGAAAUAUCACAUUUCUAGUAUGAGAACUGUUACUAGACCUGAACUUGAACAACUCUGACUAACUCACCAACAGACAGAAAUAAUAUGCAGUACUUUAUAUUUUGUAAAACCAUAAAGCCAUCUAUGUGUAACACAAUUUGUGAGGAUUACAUAACUUUCUGAAUUCGCAGAAGGACAGUCCGAAGAUGCUGUUGAAUGGUGGCACUGGGGCAGGGGUGAACUCGGUAAGUUCCAAAUUUCCACGUUUUUUUAUGGAAAACAAGGUGCACACAGUCCAUAAUAUUUUGUUUUCUGGUUCUUGUUUUCAGAGUCCUGGUAGUGAGGCUACGGUGGAGGAAGGCUCAGGGAUGUAGCCCUGGGAUGUACUGUUGCAUCAUCAGGCCAACGCCAGGAGAGCUGCAGCAGACAGACAGGAGAUGCAUGGGUCUUAUCUAUAACGAAUGACAAAAUGCAAGGCCAAAUAUUCCACUUUAUUAAUCAUUAUCUUUUGGGAUGGGUGGAAUUAUAAAAACUUUAAAUAAUGGAAAUAUAGAAUUCCAGGGUCUUUGUGAAAGAUGGAUUUAUUAUAAUAUUGUUAUUGUCUCUGCUUUGUCAAACCAUUUGAUUUAUGAUUUGGGAGUCUACUAAGAUUUGUUUCACAGUACUUCUUGAUUUUUAACAAAAAACGGCUAACACUUGUUAUAUUAGUUAAAGAAUCAUAUAAUUGCCUACCUUCAUAUUGGUGCUUCGUAAGAAUGGUGCUCAGUACCUCAUUUAUUUUGCAAGUUAUCUUUGUAGAAUCAUAGAUCUUAAACUGCAUAGGUACAGCUCUUUAUAAGCCAUGAAUUGUCCAAAUGAAAUAUUUCCCACUUUGACAGUUAAGAAUGGUAAAACUCGAACUAUGAGAAGUAAUUGAAGUUGAUAUACUAAAUUAUAUUAUGUGGAGCAAUGGAAAAUAUUUGUAUAAUAUUUUGACAAUGUACUUUUUGAAGAUUUGCAAACAAAAUGCUUUUACCAUUUACAACUAAUUUUACAAAAUUCCAUUGUAAUGUGCCUACUCCCAAGUCAAAAAUUAUAGGGAAUUAUCCCUGACCUGUAUCACCUGUAUUUAAACAUCCAACUUACUGAUUUAGAAAUAUAUAGGCAGGCCUACUUUAGAAAUGUCUGUGUAAAUAUCUCAAUAAAUGCAUAUUUUAAUCAA